rnacentral:lncRNA from 1 species
GACUAUCAGAGCCCAGUCUUGCCCACUAGAGGCAUACUGCACUAUAGCAACGUAGCAGGAGGAAGUCGGUCCGGUGAUGUUCCAAUGUCACCGGAGAUGCCUGACAACCACAACGAUAUGCUAUCAUUCUAUUUCCAUGGCAACCUUACCAGCUUGCACCACCCAAGACACCUACCAGUGCCGAAGCGAAUCGAUGAACGCCUAUUCAUAACGCUCGGGCUUGGCUCCGUUUGUCGGCAAGGCCAGUCCUGCGAGAGAGGAGCAGAGAGCGACGAGGUCAUCGUUGUGGCAACCAUGAAUAAUAUAUCAUACGAGCUCCCCACCGUGUCGAGACCACUGCUAGAAGCCCACUACCAGAACCCCAGCAACAUUGACUGGCUGCAAGAACUCCCUGAUGUACCACCGCGGGUGUUCAACUUCACUGACAAUUCCUUGAUCCCAACAGGACCCAAGGAGGAACAGCUAGAGCCGACGUCCAAGGCUGCGUUGGCACGGCGAUUCCGGUAUGGAGCUGUUGUUGAUGUGGUGUUCCAAAGCACGUCAAUGUUGCAGAGCGAGUCCAACCCGAUGCACCUGCACGGACAUGACAUGUUCGUGCUGGCACAGGGGAGCGGCAACUAUGACAUGCAAAGGGAUGUGGCGAAGUACAACCUAGUUAAUCCUCCACUUGUGAACACCGUGCUUGUACCACGGCUUGGAUGGGUGGCUGUCCGAUUUAUUGCGGACAAUCCAGGUACGAACAUGAGUUUUACUUUCUUUGUUUUUUGCCAAAGAAGAUACAAUUAUGUAGAACAUAACAACUCUUUCUGUUUUGGCAUUUGUUCGAUGAAUAACUGCCCUACGAUACACUAGCUAGGUUUUUGUCAAGGAAGAUAUGACUGGUGUCCUCAACAAAAAUCUCAGUUCCUUUUGGACCUGGGACUAAAGCUCUGACUCUAAAUUUCGUAGUCCCUAGUCCCCGGUCUAAAUUUCAUAGUCCAUGGAGACACCUUUAGUCCCGGUUGGUGUUACAAACCCGAACUAAAGCCUCCAAGAUCUUUAGUCCCAGUUAGUAUUACCAACCAGAACUAAAGAUAUGCCUUUAUUCCCGGGUGAAAGACUCGUGACUAAAGGUUGGGACCUUUAGUCCCUAAUGAUUAGUCUUGGUUGGGAAAAUCAAGAUCUAUAAGGUUUCCAACUUGGACUACCUCUGCCAGUGUACUGUUACGUAGAACAUAACAACUCUUUCUAUUUCAGCAUUUGUUUGAUGAAUAACUCUCCUACGAUAUACUAUGUUUAAUGUUUGGUUGUGUAUAAGUAAUCAAAAUGCAACAUGUCAAUGCAAUAAUUUUAUUUUUUAUGUCUAUCACGUGUCAGGCCUCAAGUCUGUAUUAAAAGUUAUUCUAUAAAUGUUUGUAGUGCUUUUUUGUGCAUCUCUGCUAGAUCCUUUUGUUCUAUUGGGAUGUCGUUAUGAUCACAUCAUUUGUUUUAACUAAUUGUUUCAAGAACCAAUCCAUCAAUGCCCCUUUACUUUGCCGACAUAUAAAAAUUGAAGUGAUUUAGAAGAGUUAUCACCUCAUGGUCCGAUUUUUCAAGUUUCAAUGCAGCAUAUUUUGAGAGUACAAGUUUAGGAAUCUUCAAAGAGAAUAAAUGUAAAGUAAUAAAGGAGUAGACUUAUUAUCCAUAUAAUCUUAUUGACACGAAGUUCGUAAGGGGGUGUUUGGAUCCCGGACUAAACUUUAGCCCCUGUCACAUCGAAUGUUUGACACUAAUUAGAAGUAUUAAACAUAGGCUAAUUACAUAACCAAUUUCACGACCCCUAGGCUAAAUCGCGAGACGAAUCCAUUAAGCCUAAUUAGUCCAUGAUUUGACAAUAUGGUGCUACAGUAAAUAUUUGCUAAUGAUGGAUUAAUUCGGCUUAAUAGAUUCGUCUCGCGAUUUAGCCUAGGGGUUCUGCAAUUAGUUUUGUAAUUAGCUCAUGUUUCGUCCUCCUAAUUAGCAUCCGAAUAUCCGAUGUGACAUUGACUAAAUUUUAGCUUCAGGAUCCAAACACCCUCUAAGUAAUAUAUCUGCACCAUUUUAUAGAAGAAAUAUGUUGUGGUUAUUGCUCUAGUACAAAAUUUACUAACUUAUCACUUAUACUAUGGAUUUGUUUAGAAACACACUCAUAUAUUUUAGUUGUAGUUGGGGUGAAGUAGAAACCCAAGAUCUGAUGCUCUCCUUUAUGGUGUGCAGGUAUAUGGUACAUGCAUUGCCACUACGAGUUCCAUCUAUCAAUGGGCAUGAUAGCAUUGUUCAUCGUGGAGGACGGACCAACAGCGAACACAUCGCUCCCUUCACCGCCAGUGGAUUUUUGGACAGAUGGCAAUGAUAAUAAUGUCAUGGCAUAUGCAUAGUACUUUGGAACGAGGAAAAUGAACUACCACAUGUAGAUGGUAUCUAGACGAUAACUCCAGGCAUGACGGGCCUUACAGUAAAAGAAAUAAACGUAUGAGCUAUUAGAAGAUCUAUUCACUUGCAUUCAUACUCGUUUUAAUAUAUUUUUCAUAGUUCUUUAAAAUUUUAGUUCACGUAAUUUUCUUGGAAUUUUGCGGUAUUGUUUCUCUAUUUAUUUGGCUUCAACCGAUAUACUGUGUAACUUCAAGAAAUAGAGAAAACCAUAUAAAUUUUUGAAAAACUAUGUAAGGAAUCGGUGCUCAUAUAGCCUAAGAGAGAGAAGGGGUGAAUUAGGCAACUUAAAAACUUAACCUAUACCUUGCAUUACUUCGGAUGAAUAUGAACUAGAUCAUACUAUCUAUCAAAAUGUGCAUCUAUAGUUGACUUAGUAUGAAAAUUUUGCACCCAUAAAAAGUUUCGCAAUCUAGAGGUAUGAACUACUCUAAUAAAGUAAAGGUACUCAAUUUGCAAGUAUGAAAUACGGAACAUAAAGGAGUGGAUUGGAAAUGAUGUAAACUCCGGCAUGUUGGAGCUCCAACAAGGAGAUGCUCCAGGUCACCAUGUCUCUCUCGGUCAAGGAUUUUGCUCACCACAAAGACUAGUCAAGCCGGAUGAUAAACUUGCAACAAAGAUGAGGCUAAACAGUCCCUCUCUUUCAAUCAUGUUGGCACUGUCUCCACUAUGGAUCACCUCAUGCCCACGCACACAAUCAUAACCACCGCUCCACACCAAGCAGAGGGUAGAAAAUUUGCCGGCGAGCUACAAAAGCUCCAAGGUGCUGGAGCACCAAGCUUAAAAUGGUGGUCCAGUCCUUAAACUAAUCACAAGAUAGCAACAUCUUGUUCUCUCUCACUGUAGGCCUAAUUAGCGGUAAUCACUCUCUAAGUUAAAUGGGACGAACUCAAACUUGUCUCAACAUACUUCACUGUUUAAUAUUUUUCGUUUUCUUUUUCCAUUUUAAAGCAUCCUUCUAAAGUAACAUGCAAAUAAAUUAUCUUACAUACACCAAUAUAUUUUUAAAUAUAGUAGACAACAUUUAAAUUGUCGUGUAGGAUUUUAAAGAAUUUUUUAAUGGAUUUAGUAUUUUCUAUCAUUGAAAGUUCCUAUUGAAAGUAAUUCCAAAUUGAACUGUGUAUACCACCAAUAAUAUUUGAAAAUUUGCACAAAAAACAUUAUUUAUGCUCCUAUGUUCCAUUAUAGCUCAUGUCCUAAAGAUAGAUGAACAAUUAAAUUAUCUUAUAGGGACAAUUCAAACUUCUAUCUCCAAAUUACCACAUAAUAAUUAUAAUUUAAAUUUAGUCAAAAAAAUUCUACAAAUUGACGUGUCAGGGUAUUUUUGGUCCAUAAGCUUGCUAUAAAAAAAUUGAAUGAUUUUAAUAAAGUGAGACUAUAUGUUGUUCACAUAUGGACACAUCUCUCACAUAGUUUCCUUUAACUCAAGUCAAACUUUGAAAUUUGAAUACCUCGUAAUAUUUUUAAACCUGUAUGCCUCUCAAAUUUUUGGUACAACCAUUUUUUGAAUAAUAUUACAAAAUAUUAAGUUACAUUUGCAAUUGUUAUGAAAAAACACGUUUUUCUAUUCUCUAUUUAGGUGGAACAAAAUAAGACAUAUGAAAAUGAUCCAAGAAAUGGCAAUUAGAAUACAAACAAAUGCCAUUACAUGAAAUGUUGUGAUUUUAGAAAAAUGCAGAAAAAGGAAUAAUCAAAUUUGGAGUUCUUAUAAGGAAAAAAUACCAAUUGGAAAUUUUAAUUCCGAAUUAAAAAGGAAAAGUACCUCUGUUCUUCAUUAUUGGGGCACCGUACAAACCAACACAUAAAAAAGAUUUUCUUACCAAUUAUUACGACCGCAGGAUGCCUGUUGUAGUGGUAAAGUUUGUUGCGUUUGCAAACCUACAACCGUGGUUCGAGCUCCCGUGUGCUUCCACAAUUUUAUCUGAAUUGGCUAUGCAGCAACGCAACUAAAUCUAUACUCAUUUUGAAAAAAAUCCCUCAAUUUUCAUGAAAUCAACUGGCAGUCCAAAUUCUGAAGAGAGAGAACUCGUGUGGAAAAAAAAUCCCUCAACUUUCAUGGAAUCAACCAUUUUGAAAAAAAUCCCUCAAUUUUUAUGGAAUCAACUGGCUGGCAGUCCAAAUUCUGAAGAGAGAGAACUCGUGUGGAAAAAAAAUCCCUCAACUUUCAUGGAAUCAACCAUUUUGAAAAAAAUCCCUCAAUUUUUAUGGAAUUAACUGGCAGUCACGGCCGCCUCCCGCGCCACCUCCAUCUGCUCCACCCCCGCCACCUCAACACCAUCUUCCCAUCCCCUUCCUAUCUGGACCCCGAAACCCCCACCCCAGAGCGGUUCCCCGUCCGAGCUCCGCCGGACGAGCAGGUCGCGGCGUGGGUCACGCGCCUCCACCUGGGCCGGGUUUCACCGCGUCCGACCUCGCCGCAGCCAUCUCCACGGAGCCUGACCCGGACCUCGCGCGCGCGCUCUGUCGCUGAGCCGGGCUGUGCUCGGGGUUCCACCAUGCACCCGAAUCCUACUUCGCGGGGCCCUGUUUGCCCGACCUCCGUCUCUUCAACGCCUGCCUCCGCUUCUGUUGUGACCGCCGCAGCCUAUUCCCGCUCGCCUUCGACAUGUUCAACAAGAUGCGCGCAAUGCCCGCGGUCACCGGAUGCCGCCCUGAUGUCGAGAUCUACAUGCUCCUCCUCAGCGCCAUCGUGCGCUGCCCGCCGGCGUCGAUGGUCAACCUCAUCGCCGUCCGGUCCCUCUCCUGCCAGAUGAAGGCCUUCAGCGUUGUCCGGACACCUUCCUGCUGAACCUCAUCAUCAAGGCCUAUGCGCGGUGCGUGGAGGUGGACGACGCGCUCAAGGUGUUCCGCCGUGAAAUGCCACUAUAUGGCUGCGAGCCAAACGAGUUCACCUAUGACUACAUUGUCAAGGCCAUGUUUCAGGGCUGGGCAGACAAGGGCAUGGUGUAUUUUGCAGAGAAGAGGGAGAAGGGAUUUGUGCCAUCCGGAGGCGUGUAUAUGAUCGCUGUGUGGGCGUUGGCAUUGGAACGGAGGUUCUAGGAAUUGAGGCGGGUGCUGCUGGAUAUGUUGGAUUGCAAGAGGAAGCCGGAUAUGAUCACAUACAGGACACUGCUGGCAGAGAUGUCCCGGGCUGGGCAAACUGAGCAGGCGUUUGAGGUGCUGGAGGAGCUGAAAGGGAGGAAGCGAGGGCCAUUGGACCAGAGGAUGUACUCAGAAUUGCUUGAUGGGUUGCAUUGGAUUUCCUAGCCUCAUAAGGACAACCGAACUGUCCAUGACAAGGGUUCUGAUGAUUGAAAUGACGUGUUGUGGUGAUAAUAUAUGCUCCUCCAGAAUCAAUGCAUCAUAUGCAAGGGAACCUGCUGAUAAUAGCCUUUUUCAUCAUAUUGCGUCUGAACCAAGUUAAAACCACUGGUUCAUCCUGUGGGGCGUGGGCUGCAGGCUUCUCGCCAUCCUGUUGUGAACUGCAACUUUUGUUUUAAAAAAAGUGAACUGCAACUGUUGCUGCUUGUCCGCAUCCUGUUGAUGCUUAUUUUUCUUGUUGCAAUUGUAUUCUGAUGAUUUAAAACUUCAAGUAUUGCUCAAAACAUUUAACAAUUCGAGAGCAUAAAUGAUUUUAUGACUGACCCUUAUUACUAGAAACUAGAUGCUGCUUUUACUUUUGUCGUUAUAACAUAGUUCAUCUAACAUCUCAGGGAUACAUUGUUCUGAAUCGGCCGUGGGCAUUUGUCCAGUGGCUCCAGAAGGCAGACAUAAAGGAAGAGUAAGUUUACUGUAAGUUUAGUUGAUAAUCAGUGAUCAUUCUCCAGACUCAAUAGUUCAAUUAACUUUAUACUAUGUGCAGGUAUAUCUUGAUGGCAGAGCCUGAUCAUAUUAUUGUCAAGCCUAUCCCAAACUUGUCAAGGGAUGGUCGCGCAGCAGCUUUCCCUUUCCUCUAUAUUGAGCUGGAGAAAAAUGAGAAAGUGUUGCGUAAGUUCUUCCCUGUGGACGAGGGGCCAAUGAAUAAGAUUGAUCCUAUAGGAAAUUCUCCUGUGAUAAUUGAGAAGGUGAGAUUUUUUUUCUUCUAAGAAUCUACUCAGAUUUCCGUCACUAACAGUUUCUCCCUGAUUUACUAGGAAUCUCUUGCAAGGAUGGCACCUACAUGGGUGAAUGUUUCAAUUGUAAUGAAAAAAGAUCCUGAUGCAGAUAAAACUUUUGGUUGGGUUUUUGAAAUGUAACGUCCUGCCCAAUAAUUUCUUUUUCCUCAGGAUGUCUAAACUUCGAUCUGGGUGUGUUUUCUUUGGAGACGAGAUGGGAUAGGUUGGUCUGUCCUAGUUUUUUUUGGAUGGAAUCGUCCCACCGCCACCUAAUCGGAGCUCGCCUCGGCUCAAUCGAGCACAGGCGCCGCCGAAUCGGGCCUCGCCGCCGCUGAAUCGGAGCUCCCCGCAACCGAAUCGGGCGUCGCCGCCGCUGAAUCAUGCCUUGCCACUGCCAGAUCGGUCACUUCGCCAGAUCAGGGGUCAGAGCAGGUGCCGCGCUGCUACUGCUCGGCUCAUCGGGACCGAGUCCGCCGCCAUUCGCUGGGGCUGCGAUGCUGCUCGGCUCAUCAGGGUGGAGGUCAGGGCCGAGGCUGGGCUGCUGCUCCACUCGCGCCAGGCUCUCCGCUCGUCGAUGCGCUACUGUUCGGAUUUGAGAGAGGAGCAAGCUGCUUGCUUGACCGGUGAAGAAUUGAGCAAGAGAGAGAAAGGGGCAGGCUGUUGGUUUGCUUAUUGCGUGAAGAAAUCAUAGGGGGAAAUAGAAGGGCCGGCGGCGGCAGUGGAUAAAGUGAAGAAAGGAUAGAAGGGAAGAAAUAACGGGAGACUAACACAUGGGUACCAAUCAUAAGGGUAUAAUAGAUUUUUCAUAAUAAAAUUAUCUGUUUCUAGAGUUGGAUCCAUGCUUCUUGCCAAACAUGUAGAUAACUCCAUUAUUUUUGUGGAGUUGGUAGGGUGGAGUUGAAGUGGAGUGCUGCCAAACACCCCCUAAUUAAACCAUUUAAAAGGUAGUAAUAGCCCAUCCAAAUAAGGUUUAACCCAGGAUGUGCAUUAUGGAAAAAUUUGAGCACGCCGUCUCCUAUUUGAUGAAAUACGGUGCAUGUGAAAAGAUAUUACAUGGUCAGAAGGACUAAAGAACUCCGUCGGUGGCCAUCGCAGGCUGAUUUAACUCUCUUGUUUCAGCAAAAAAAUAUUUUAAUUUAAUAGGUAUUUGAGUUGAAGGAAAUAAUUAAGUCAAAAUUCUUUUGGUUUUCUUUUAAAUGUGUAGACAUCCAAUAGGUGGAAUAAAAAUUUAUUGAUGGAAAUAAAAAAUAUCAUUAGUUUGAAAAGCAUAAUUGAUCUUUUUACCAUACCAACACAUGGGGAUUUUACUAGUACUAAAUAAAAUCCCAAAUGGAGGCGUAGCUUGGUGGUAAGGAGUGCUUUGCUAUGGUUGUAAGUCUUGGUUUCGAACCCUGUCCGCCACUUUUUUUGUUAAAUAGCAGGAUGACGUGCUCUGAAAAGGUCAUGAAAAAUCCAUCAUGGAUUAGGCGUAUUACGCGUGUUUUUUUGUUUAAAUAGCAGGAUGACGUGCUCGCGUGUGGAAGCCUCCCGAGGCUGCAAAAAAAGUAUGCUAAUAGUUACCUUUUAGUACAGGUUAUUUUACUCGGUACUAAAAGGGUACCGGUUUGUACAACCGGUUUUAAAAUAUUCUCAUGACUUUAGUACCGAAUACAUACCACCCGGUACUAAAAACGUCCUCGUGUCUUUAGUACCGGAUCGUAAUUAAUACCACCCGAUUAUUUGACCCGGUACUAAAGAGAUGUAGCAUCACUGGUUGUACAACCGUUACUAAAGGAAGAUUUGGCACCGGUACUAAAAGUGGCAUCCCCAGUGGUGGUACUCCAAGAUUCCUCAGUGGUGGUACUCCAAGAUGCUGGAUUCAAGAUCGAUCGAACAAAUUAUUGUGUAAAAUACAUUCAUAAAGAACCGACCGAGGGCAUCUUUGUUUAAAUAAGUCUACGGGCGUGCUCCUGACACUAAUUAGGUCACUACAAUUGCUUAAUGCCAAAUUAUUAAACAUCAAGUUGUACUGGUGAUCGGAUCUGGUCAGACAGAAGUAAACUGUUAUUUCCAAAAAGAAUUUCUAACGAAUAAAAUGACAGAAUUGCCGGUUGGUGUACUGGCAUGCAAUUAAAUGUUGUGUCAUCAACUUCAACUCUGACAACUAUCACGUAGUCAUGUAGCAUGUGAGACAAUUAUUAUCUUAUUCUUCGUAAAAAACACCUACCUUGGUGGCUUUUUUACCGGAUCAUAUUUAAUACCUCUCGGCACAAAGGGGAUGUAGCAAUACCAUUUCUACAAUCAGUACUAAAGUUUGGCACCGGUACAAAAAGCGGAAUUCUCGAUGGUGGUACUCGAAGAUUCCCCAGUGAUGGUACUCCAAGAUGCUAGAUUCAAAUAAAUUACUAUCUUAUUCUUCAUAUAAAACACCUACCAACGGCUCGGCAAUAAAUCCAUGUCUAUAUACUUAGAAAAAUUAGAUUAAGUAUUUCAAUUCAUUUUAUUAUAGUUCAAAUACCAAUCCAUGUGUAAUAUUUUGUAGAUGGAUCGAAAAUGGAUGUACAACGCAAACAAACGUUCCAUGGAGUAUAUUAAGGCUUGCGUGGUUUUCUCAAUAAUGCAGAAUCCAAUAAACCACCGUCUGGUUUCAUUUGUUAUCCGUGCAAAAAUUGCAAAACUGAGAAGGAUUACUCAUCCAGCAAGACUAUUCACGCCCACAUAUACAAUUCUGGAUUCAUGACAAACUAUUUGGUUUGGACCAAGCACGGGGAAAGAGGAGUUAUGAUAGAUGAUGAUGAAGAAGAAGAAGAUGACAACAUUCCUAACUGGAUUCAAGGAAGUACCUUUGUAGAUGCUCUAAUGGGCGAGGCUGAAGAAGAGAUGGGCGAGGCAGAAGGUCCGCUCGAUGAGCUAGGUCAGGUGUUGCAAGAUGCAAAGGAAGACUGCAAGAAUGUGAAGGAGUCAAAAUUGUUGGAGCGUAUGUUAGAUGAUCAUAAGAAAUUGUUGUACCCAGAUUGCAAACAGGAGUAGAAAAGUUGGGUAGCACACUGGAAAUGCUGCAAUGUAAGGCAAGAAAUGGAGUUUCUGACAAGGGUUUUGAUGAGUUAAAGAAAAUCAUAAAGAACAUGCUUCCCAAGGGAAAUGAAUUGCCGUCCUCAACAUACGAAGCAAAAAAGGUUGUCUUCCCUCUGGGCUUGGAGGUACAAAAGAUACAUGCGUAUCCUAAUGACUCUAUCCCCUAUCGAGGCAAGGAAUAUGAGAAAUUGGAGGCUUGUCCUGUGUGCAAAGCGCUGCAUUAAAGAUCAGGCGAGAUGACCCUGGUGAUGUUAAAGGGAGGCCAUCAAGAAGAAAGUUCCUACGAAGGUAAUGUGGUAUUUCCGUGUAGUACCACGGUUGAAGCACUUGUUCAAGAACAAGGCACAUGCAAAGUUGAUGUGUCGGCACAAAGAAGAAUGUAAGCAAGAUCAAAUGAUCAGACACCCCCUAAUGGGUCCCAGUGGAGAACAGUUGAUAGAGAAUUUCUUGAGUUUGAAAAGCAUGCAAGGAACAUACAAUUUGGUUUAAGUACAGAUGGAUUCAAUCCAUUCUGAGAGUUCAGUAGUGGUCAUAGCACUUGGCCUAUGACCUUAUGUAUGUUCAAUCUUCCGCCAUGGUUGUGCAUGAAGUAGAAGUUCAUUAUGAUGCUGAUAAUUAUCCAUGGUCCAAAACAAUCUGGCAACGACAUUGAUGUUUACCUAAGACCGUUGGUUGAUGAACUUCUACUGUUAUGGAAGGAAGGUGUAUAUGUGUGGGAUGAGGACAAAAAGGAGACAUUUAAUCUACGAGCAUUGUUGUUCGUAACCAUCAAUGAUUGGCCGGCGCUUGGUAAUCUAUCCGGAUAGUCAAACCAGAGAUUCUGAGCCUACACACACUGUUUAGAUGAUACUUGCAGCAUGUAUUUGAAGCACUACAAGAAGGUUUGAUGAUCAGCCAAAGUGCCACAUUGUUCUUCCAGGGAAAAGAAAAAUCAUUGGAGUUGAGGACAAGACUGACAUAUCAGAAGAUUAUGAUUAGUUCAACGAUCUUUCUCUAUUUUCAGUUGAGGUUGACCCAAGCGUCCUAUUAGGCAAAGAGGAUGCUCCGUACUUACACCGCGAUCACAACCAUGGGACGUUCGUCAAGAGGAGGGUUAUUAACAUUCCAUUGAUGAUGAUGCGUAAUGUAUUUGAACAAUUAUCAACAAAGGCAUUAAUGUAACUAUGAAUGAUUAGAUCUUGUUUUUCCAAAUACAAUUCUCAUGUCUUGUUUAACUUUCUUGUCCGGCUAAAAUAUCGUUUAACUAAUUUUUGCAUGGUUAAAAUAUUAAAUAUUUCAAAUUUUUAAGCACCAUUAAAAAUUAAACAAUAAAUUUACGUACAAUUAAACAAGAUCAUGAUUAAGUCAUGGGAAAGAUGCUAAGAACACUAGAGGCACUAUUUUUCUAAAUUUUUGCAUGGUCAAAAAAUCUUUUUUUCAAAUUUUAAAGGUAAUAUAAGUAUUAUGACCAUUAUAACCUAUUGCUAAGUUAAAAUUAAUAACUUUACCAUAUUUGAUAUUUGACCGCAUCUGACAUUUUUAUAGUGCAUAUCUAAUAAACAUGAAGCUACCAAAAUUGUUGUUACAAUUUUAUGAAUGUUAUUUAAUUUACUAUGCAAUAAAUUAAUAUAAUAGCAAUUGUAAAAGAAAGAAAAAAUAAAAAGAUGGCAGGGCAACUAAAACAGGGGCAUGCAACCCCUCUAGUACCAGUGCAUAACAACAACCGAUAUUAGAGGGGCAUUUUUAUUUCACGCACGGGGAAACCGGUACUAGAGGCCCCCUCUAGUACUAGUUGUAGUUUGCACCCUCUAGUACCAGGUGUAAACUACAACUGAUACUAGAGGGGGGUGUUAAGGAGCACCGCAGGCUUCUUCCUUCCCAACACUUACCCAUUUCUCCCUCGCACGUUGAUCCGCCUCCUUUGUCGAUCUGAUGUCGCUAGCCCUCGUCGAUCCGCCACCCCCGGCCCCAUCACCAUUCCUGCCGCUGUCAGUGUCGCCGCCAUUUGCCCCUGGCCCCGUCGUCGCCUUCUUGUGUCGUCGCCGCCCCCGGCCUCCGUCACAGCACCCGGCCCCUUCGCCGGCCCCCAGCCCCGUCGUCGCCUUACGGCCCGUCGCCAUCGGCUACUGAGAAUGAAAAAUGGAAAGAGGAUUGUAAAGAAGCAAGGAGGAAGAAACAGAAUCUGGAGCCACCACUGGAUAAGCGUAAGCUUUGGUCUUUCAUCUGAAAAAUGGAGGCGGAGCAAAGGAAAAAAACUAGAGAAACCUCCUCUAUCUGAUUUGACAGGCAGAUAACAAAGCAGGCAGCUCAUAAGAGGAAGAAAAGUGGGAAAUCUAUUUCUCAACUCAGAGAGCAAUCCAACCAAUCGGUUGCCCCGCUUGUGGUGCUUUCUGACUGGAGAAGAACCUGUUGGAAUUCAGUAGAGAUACUAAUCUGACAAUAGCACAACUUUGAGGGGAGGAUGAGAUCCCAAAGCUCUUUGUGCCCAUCAAAUGGAACAAUGAGUAUAGUAAAGAGCUCGUGUUUCCGCAGUUGGUGAAAUAUCUCCCAAUGAAGAUGUACAAGUUGCACCAAUGGUACAUGGAGGCUACAGCAAAUGGUUUGAUCAGGAUGGAAGUUCGGGUUGGUGAUGACAUCAUAAUGGUGGAACUAUUGGAACUGUAUAUGCUAUUCAAUCAAGACCCACUAGACAAGUUAGUGAUCAGUUGCUUGGUCCUAUAAUCUUUAGUACAUUCCUCUAACUUCAAAAUCACCGCUCUAGUCAAUUUGUGAUGUCUUAGCUCCUAUUCGAUUUUGUAUCGUGCAGGAUGGUGAUGCAAUAUUAUCGUAGGAAGGGAUACCAUGAUGUAGGAUUCAUGGACCCCUCAAUUAUACACUAGAAUACUCUAAGGGAUAAGCUAGAUGAGACUACGAAGAAUAUAUUUAAGUUCCUCGACAAGCAUUGGGACAAGAAGUGCAUAUUACUACCGUAGAAUUUCGAGUGAGCGUUUUUCCCAUCUCUUCCUUUUCCGAACUAGAACUUAAAAAUAAUACUAACUAGCUUCACUUUGGAUGUACAGAUACUAUUGGGUACUCAUUGUUAUUGUGCCCUUUUGGAGCAUUGUGUAUGUCUUUGACUCUUUGAGGAAAACAAAAGGAAAAUACGUUGACAUCAUGAACGCUGUGAACAAAUGUUGGGCUGGAUUCUAUCGAACUCACAUGGGUGACUUCAAGGAGAAACUUGAUUGGAAGACAGAUUUCUCAAUAUGUGUUGAAUUUUCACAUCUCGUGACAGUUCCUUUAACACAACAAAUAUUACAUAACUUUUUUUUCCAUAUAUACUGUGUUUGAGACAGCUGGAGGGUACUAAUUUAUGUGGAUACUACAUUUGUGACUGCAUCCACGCCUUCAUCAGUCAAGACGGCCAUAUCAGCGAACACCAAUUAACCAUACGUAUAUUCUUCAACAAUAAAUUAGUUCAUGUGUAUAUUCUUCUAAAAUCAAUCCAUGUGUAUAUACUUAGAGAAAUUAGAUCAAGUAUUUCAGUUCAUAUGCUUAUACUUAGAAAACCAUUCCAUAUGUAUAUACUUAGAAAAAUUCGAUUAAGUAUUUCAAUCCAUUUGCUUGUACUUCAAAAAACCAAUCCAAGUGUAUAUACUUAGAAAAAUUAGAUUAAGUAUUUCAAUUCAUUUGCUUGUACUUCAAAAAAUUUCAAUUGUUCAAAAAAUUUAGAUUAAGUAUUUCUAAUUCAUUUGCCAAUGACACAGAUGAUUGCUAGGAAGGAAAGACUCGUCGAUACCGAAGUUUUCAGGGCAAUACAAGAACAAUUAUGUGGAGUUUUUCUAGAAGAGGUCGCAAAUCCUGAGGGGAGUUUCGCCAUGAUGGAUCUCAGCUAGUGCACAAACCGGACUCGAGUUCAGAAUAGUAAAUACGAUAUGUGUAUGCACAAUAUGUGUAUAUAUAAAUAUGUAUAAUAUUAUUCAUAUAUGUGUAUGCACAAUAUGUAUAUAUAUAUAAUAUUAUCUCAAACGUUAUAUUAAAGAUAAAUAGAACUUACAUAUAUUAGCGUAUUAGAACCAGUAUACAUAAUGGAAACAAAUACAAAAUAGGAAUAUACAAUAAAGGAACGUAAAAUAAGAAAAGAAAGGGAAAACACAUUAGUACUAGUUACCAACCGGUACGAAUGAGCCCCCCCCCUCCCCCCGCGUGGGAAGCCCUUUAGUACCAUUUGAUGUCCCCAACAAGUACUAAAGGGUCCCCCUCUAGUACCGAUUGGCCAGUACCGGUUGCGCAACCGGUACUAGAGGGGUUACUGACCGGUACUAGACGUCAUUUUUCCAGUAGUGACUUCCAAGCCUGACCCUGCCACAUGGUGGGAGGAAAUUAAAGGAGUGUUGCCGAGGGUGCUGAACCAGCUGACAUUGUAGUGGUUGUGCCGGGUAAUACAAACCAAUCAUAAAAAUAAUUAUUUCUAUUUUAAUUGGUGACGCCUAAUGCGUAACUAUGUCACAAUACCCACAUUUGGAGACAGCUAUAGAUGCUAAUUAGUUGUGACAAACCUUGGCGUCUCUUAAUUUUCGUCUACAACAUGAGUCAUAACAGUGAUGUAAAAGUCCCCGUCUCAAAUAUUUCAGAUCAUUGAGGGGGUUUAAGUACAAUCCAUGUUUCUUAUUGAGAUAUCAGAGAAUUGGUUCUGUUAAUCCACAUCAUUACUGCCAAUCGAUAUGAGCGAUCAGGGAAUUAGUACUUCUCCAAUGGCCAUUUAGAGACAUGUUCCUUACAAUCAACGUCUCUGAUAUUGUGCAUACAGACAGUUAUUGUUACUAUACAUGACUCUUGUUUAUUGUGGUAAAGCACGCGAAUUCAUGUAUCCAUCAAUCGUACGUUACAUGCAUCACAGCUAAGCAUGCAUAUAUCGUCAUAGGCAUCACAGACAUGCAGGAUAGGGACAUACGUAGACAUCGAUCGCAAGCUCAUGGUUAAGUUCCAUAGACAACCACAUAAUAUCGAAGUGUUGACAACCACACUAGGUAGUUCAAUAACACUCAGAAUGCGUAAAAGGAAAAUACACUUUGUAUGUGGGAAUACGAAAAGACGAUAGCCAGAAGUAACUUUUAGAUCCAUUGCUAGGAUGGUUGUGUAGACUUGUCGAAUCCUUUCCAUUUGACUACUCACAUGCAUCAUUUGGACUUCGGAUCAAAAAGUUUUGCAUGCUGUCAGAUUCAAAGGGGCUGCUAUAGUAUCGCCCUACAUUAUCCAACUCAAGGCUGCUGCGGUGACCUGAGUCCUAUUUGUUUUCCUCUUUUCUUCUUUUGUUGUUUUUUCCCUAGCCAACCCCAUUUCUUUUUCCCAAACCCUACACCCUCGUUUUCCCCAGUGCCGCCACUCUCCUUCUGCCCGUGAUCCAAAGGGGAGAGAGGGAGAGCAAGAGAAGAGAGAAGAGGAGCCGUUGUCCGUCAUCGUCUUUCCUCUAAAAAAUUUGUUGGACUUCCUUUCCUCUCCCCAUUUUCCCCAAUUGAUUUUCCUUUCCUCGCUGAUCAUGGUAGUGCCGUCACUAGUAGAGAACUGACCUUCCAUCAACCCUCUUUUGUCGCGGUUAAUAUUUGGCCCAUGACUAAAGGUUGACCACCCAGGUCUAAAACUCAGCCACUACCAGGGGGCUCGCCAACCCAGACUAAAGAACCCCUUUAGUCCCGAUUGUAAAGACCAGUGGCCCUAAGGGGCCUUUUCUCCCGGUUGGAAACACCAAUCGGGACUAAUUUAGUCCGGGUUGGUAUUUCCAACCGGGAGAAAAGGCUCCUCCCCUCGUUCCGCGUGCCCCCCUCCACCUCCUCUCUCUUCAUCUCAGACUCUCAAACUUAUCUCCCCCAGGCCCCGGUGCGCCGCUCCCUCCACCUCCACUCUCUCGGACUCUCACGCGCCUUAUCUCCCCCCUCCCCUCCCUCUCCCGCAUGCCCGCCCCCCUCCCCUCCCCUCCCUCUCCCGCUGCCCCCCCUCCACUCCCUCCUGGCACCGCCGCCCCCUCCCUGCUACCCUUCCCCUCCCACCUCUGCUCGCCCAUCACUGGUAGUGAGGAGCGGCAGUGGGGCGAGGUGCAGGGCAGCGCAGUGGCACGCAGAGGAGCAGCAUCUGGCGGCAGCGGGAGUGCAUGGUACAUGCUCUCUCUCUCUCCUCUCCCCCCAUCUCCCUCCCUCUCCCUCUUUUUUUUUGCACAGGUGGCGCACGGGUAGUGGCGGCACCAAGGCAGUGGGAUGAGGUGGUGGGGCCGAGGCAACGGGAUGCGGUGGCGGGGCAGUGGGGCAGCGGGAUGCGGCGGCGGUGUGCGGGAAGCGGCGGCGGCGGCGGCAGUGGGGUAGCGGGAUGCGCGGGCCGAGGCGAGCGGGCAGUGGGGCUGAGGCAGUGGCACGGCCCAGGCGGUGGCGCGGCCGUGGCGAGCGGGCUGGGGGGAGCUUUUUAUUAUUUUCAAAAAAUUUUAGUCCCGGGACUAAAGGACCCCCCUUUUGUCAAGAAAAUUAUAUCCCGGAUGGUUUUUACAGAGAUUUGGCCCCUACCAACCAAGACUAAAGGUGAGUUUUCCACCAAUGUGUCAUGUGGGUUGCAAUUUAGGUGCAAUCGAUGGGGCUGGCAUGAAGUUCAUCGCUAGGGAGAGGAAAACGACCAGGAGUCAUUGUUGGGAUCGCUGCCGUCACCGUUGCCUUGCUGUUUUCAAGGCGAAACCCUAGGUGAGGCAUCCACCGCUGUAAUCCAUGUUUUCCCUAUAGUUUCAGAUGUUCUAGUACAUGUGUGUAGCGUUACUCGACACCAUUAAGGGCUAGGGUAAAGUUUUACUCUCGAUGUUUCCAGCACAUAGUCAAUCUGUGCAGUUUCUAGUAAUGUUCGUUUUACGUCCUUUUAGUAGCUUCAAAAAAAUAAUAAACCUAUAUAUGAGUAUUAGACAUUUUCCAUAGCUUUCCAUAGCCGCAAAGAACUUUGCAAUCAGAGUUAAGAUCAGGGAGAUAUCAGAGUUUGAUUCUGACUAUGACUCGUAACUGUGCGUAGAAUCUGUUCUCUUCAAGGUUAGGAAAACCUAACAAUUGGAUUGGACUUUUUGGUAGUUGGAGAAGUUUUAGAAAAUUUCAUAAGGUUUUCAUCUUGGUUAAGUAUACCUUCAUAUGAAUUUUGGAGCUCCAGAUGUACCUAUUUUACUAGGACUGUUCCGUGGAUGUGUGGGUAGAACUGAAGUCAUGCAUUGCAUUGCAUUGCACCAUUCGCAUUUCAUUAUGAAGUACUAUUGUGAAGUAUUUAUUUAACUUACUACUCGAAGUUAUGUGGUGCACUUUUAUAAUAAUGAUUCUUAAAUUGUUUCUUAAUAUAUUGUGAUUUAAAUGACUUGGUUGAAAUAGUUUGCUUGCUGAGAUUUUCCAUAAACCUCAUACGCUUUUCCUCUCCACAGGUUCUUGAGUUUGGAGAGUGCUUGGUUGGAUGGGAGUAGCAACACGUGUGCACACACUUCUUCAUGUAUAUGUUUUGGACACAUGUGUUGUAAUAUAGAAUGUUUGGUUGUGAUGUCUUUACUUAGCUUAUAAUCUCUUUGAUCCAGUUUCUAAGAUUUUUAUCUAAAUGAUUUAAGUUGCUUCCGUGUGCUCUGUUCUAUUAUCUUUGUUGCUGUUUUUAUGUGUGUGCCUGUAAUAGUUGUAGUGUAGUGUGGUAAUGCUCCAGAAUGUUGCUGAUGUUCUAGAGUGUUACAAAUUCAAAUACUUGAAGAUUUACAUAAAGUGACAGCACAAUGCAAUUGUAUCUUUUCAAAAAGCUGAAUUGGAAUAAUGAAAUUCUACAUUCUUGUUGAUGAUAUCCUGCAUACCUAAAUAGUAUUACUAACUCUUGUCAUUAUAACCUUAAAGCCCAUACAAGCUUAACAUAAGAAUAAAUGGGCCACACACAAUCCUAAAAGUACGGAGGCUAUGAAUCAAAAUGUCAUAUCAAAUUAAGAACACAAACAGUUCAUUCAUAAAAUAACUAGGCACCUGUCAUGAAUGAUAACUCAUUACAAUGACGUUUUAUUCUUUUACGAAGUAUCACAAGCAACCUCUCAACUCCGUGCUAUAUAAAUAUUACAUGUGCGAGUUCCUUAGAAACAACGGGAGGUAAUAAACGAUCCCCAAAUGUGUACGCUAUUAUUCAUAACAUAAUUAUUCAUAACAUCUAUAAUGAUAAUACAUCUUACUCUUCAUUAUAUUCAUUAUUUCAUUGCAGCUGCUUAUCAUUGAAAAAAAGAGUACCAAGCUCGAUGACAAAGAUAUUGAUACUAUUGGUGUAGACAUAGCGAGAUUCAUCCAAUGCGAGAUUUGUCACGACAGAGGUGCAAAAUUUGACCCCGAUGGCGUGUUGGCGACGGAUGAGUGCAAAUCUCUACGUAAUUGGGUAUAGUAGGGAUAUUUAGAGAUGCCAAAGAACAUUUAUAUUCUAAUGCCUGUUGAACCUUAAAUAAUUAUAUUUAUAUGUUAUUAUUAACUACUGUGGAAUAUUUAAUAUUUUGAAAACUUAUAUAUCAUUUAUGGUUGUUUUUCAUCAUAUGUGGUUGGAGAUACAUAUUUCAAUUUGGCGAGCAAUAUCAUUACAAAAUUGACAGGAGGCAAUAAAAAAUUAGUGGGAAUUUUCAGAUAUUCGAAUGGGCAAAGAUCAUGUGCCGGCGGGCAUCAUAAACCAAUCUGUACUGGUGGGCAUCAUAAGUCGCUAGCCAGUGCAAAUCCGUAUGAGUUGGCGGUUGCGCAGUCACCAACUCAAAUAUUUUCUGGCAUAGUAUUGGCUUUUGUAUAUUAGUACUUUGUUAACGUAAUAUACGGCAAAUAAAACAAGGCUCUACAUUACUUCUAAAAGCCCAGAACAGUACUCAAUGAAGAUUUCCUAGACUCACAAACUGUUCCCAAAAUCACCCAAAUAAUCCUGAAGCAUGCGAAUGUUGCCUGAGUCGGAGGGAGGUGUGAAGAUUUAGUGAAAGAGUGAUAAGAAACUAAUCAUGCAUGGCUGCAGUGAAGCUAAGUCAACCGUGUAAGGCCUUGAUCAAGUUGGUACCCAUUCUGAAUUGUAUACGUACUUCAAUAAUAAAAUCCAUUGGGGAUUGUCACGUGACGAAAUAGAGCAGGAGCAAGUGUGAUAAAAAGAAUUACCUUAAGUCUCUGUAAGGAAAAUGAUAAAUAAAUCAUGAGUGUCUCAGAUCCUUGGCACCCUCGAUAGUGUUAACGCAGUGAUCGUUUGCCUCUAUUCUAUAUAUACUAGUACUUAGAGGUACACUGCAGAGCAAAUUGAGCAAAACAAAGCUGCACACCAUGAAGAGGCGGAGCCUUGCUUUGGCAGCAACCGCUGCUGUCAUCUUCUUCUUCUUCAUGACGGCAUUCCCAGCGUGCGCAGCCGUCGUCGAGCACACCUUCGUUGUAAGCAUGCUGCUCCUCCAUGGUUUUGAUCCUCAUUAUUAACCCGUUCUUAUUUUUGACAAUGAAACCACAAUGUUUAUAUAUUUCUAUACAUUUUGAUUUGUUGAAAUAUGUACAUAUGUAGGUGAGCCACAUGAAUAUGACGCACUUGUGCAAGGAAACACGGGUUAUGGUAGUGAAUGGGCAGCUCCCUGGGCCAGCAAUAGAGGUCACGGAGGGAGACUCGGUGGUCGUUCAUGUAGUCAACAAGUCACCCUACAACAUGACAAUCCAUUGGUAAUCAAUUAAGUACUGGUCAAUUACUCAAAUGAUUAUUCCUUUGCUCCAACGAAAAAAAUCCUACCAAUUAAACCUGAAAGUGUAGAAUUUUAACAACUUAUAUGUGGAUCCUAUUGGUGGGUCUCGAGUAAACCAUGUAUUGAUUUAAGUCCUACUGAUGUUGUUUGUAAAAAUUGGUUUGUUUUGGAGCCUUCUUUUUGUAGGCAUGGAGUAAAGCAACAGCUCAACUGCUGGGCUGAUGGCGUGCCGAUGAUUACCCAGCGCCCCAUCCUUCCAAAUAAUAACUUCACCUACCGGUUCGAUGUUUCGGGGCAGGAAGGUACCCUGUGGUGGCAUGCUCAUGUUCCCUUAAUCCGUGCAACAGUGCAUGGCAUCUUGAUCAUCAGGCCAGGGCAUGGGGCCGUCUCCUAUCCAUUUCCUAAGCCUCAUAAGGAGAUCCCCAUAAUCAUAGGUUUGUGCGUGUUCAGCAUUUGAGAGAGUUUUACUAUAAACGUCCAGUUUUCAUAACGUUUUUGUAUUGGACAUCGUUUGGACAAAGAUUUGAAUCAAACGGUCCUGUUAUUUAGAAAAAUGAGCUAUUUUCCAUGCGUCAUGCAUAUGGUUGCACAGAACUAGCAGACGUGCCACAUCUUUUACGCAAUGCUCUGGCUGAACUAUUGUUGUUUUGUUCCUGUUGAUUGCAGGGGAGUGGUGGAGUGAAGACAUUGCACAGGUGGACACAACCGUCUCUUACAACAGUGCGUCCACAAUCAAUGGCAAGCUUGGAGAUCUCUACAACUGCUCUGGUAACCAAAUUGCUACAUUAAUAUAUGGCCACAUCGACACAAACAUCUUUUAUUAAUUCUGUAGUCCUCACGGAUUCAACUUUGAAGGCGCCAUGGAACAGGGCUAUAUGAUGGAGGUGGAGCCCGGCGAGAUCUACCUCCUCCGAGUAAUCAACGCUGCGCUCCUCUCUGAAUACUACCUCAAGAUAGCUGGGCACAAGUUCACUGUGGUUGCUGCUGAUGCCAACUACGUCAGCCCUUAUACGACGGACAUCAUUGCAAUUGCUCCAGGCCAGACAUUCGACGCCCUUGUGGUUGCCGAUGCGUCUCCUGGCAGAUACUACAUGGUCGCCCUGCCCAACCAGCCUCCAAAGCCUGACUUUCAGAGCCCGGUCUUGCCCUCUAGAGGCAUACUGCAGUAUAGCAACGUAGCAGGAGGAAGUCAGUCCGGUGAUGUUCCAAUGUCACCGGAGAUGCCUGAUAACCACAACAAUAUGCUAUCAUUCUACUUCCAUGGCAACCUUACCAACUUGCACCACCCAAGACACCAGCCAGUGCCAGAGCGAAUCGAUGAACGCAUAUUC